rnacentral:misc_RNA from 1 species
AGAGAAAGAGUGAGAAAGGGUCAGGUACCCUAGAGUAAGAAAAAUCGAAAACAAAAAAAAAAUUUACUUGACAUUUUAAUGUUUUAGGUUAAUUACAGAAGAGUUGAGAAAUAAAAUUUCUCCUCUUUUCUUUUCCUUUAUCUCUGCUAUUUGAUGUCCAAAUAACAGAAUUUAGAGAAAUCAAUUUUUUUGUUCUUUUCUCUUCUUUCUAUUUCCUUUGAUCCAAAACAAAAGGAAGAUAAGGAGGCAUA